rnacentral:rRNA from 1 species
CAUGCAUGUCUCAGUACAAGCCAAUUAAGGUGAAACCGCGAAAGGCUCAUUAAAUCAGUUAUGGUUCCUUAGAUCGUACCCACACUUACUCGGAUAACUGUGGUAAUUCUAGAGCUAAUACGUGCAAACAGAGCUCCGACCGGAGACGGAAGGAGCGCUUUUAUUAGAUCAAAACCAAUCGGCGGCGGGUCCCCGUGGCCCGUCGUCGUUCAACCUGGUGAAUCUGAAUAACUUUACGCUGAUCGCACGGUCACGCACCGGCGACGCAUCUUUCAAAUGUCUGCCUUAUCAACUGUCGAUGGUAGGUUCUGCGCCUACCAUGGUCGUAACGGGUAACGGGGAAUCAGGGUUCGAUUCCGGAGAGGGAGCCUGAGAAACGGCUACCACAUCCAAGGAAGGCAGCAGGCGCGCAAAUUACCCACUCCCGGCACGGGGAGGUAGUGACGAAAAAUAACGAUACGGGACUCAUCCGAGGCCCCGUAAUCGGAAUGAGUACACUCUAAACCCUUUAACGAGGAUCAAUUGGAGGGCAAGUCUGGUGCCAGCCGCCGCGGUAAUUCCAGCUCCAAUAGCGUAUAUUAAAGUUGUUGCGGUUAAAAAGCUCGUAGUCGAAUCUGUGUCCCGCGCCGCCGGUUCAUCGCUCGCGGUGUCUGACUGGCGUGUUCGCGGGACGUCCUGCCGGUGGUGCCGUGCGGGGCGCCGGUGCGGCUUCGUCCCAGGUGGUCGUUGUCCGUGUCGUGCGUUUCCGUGCGGCCCAACUCUAAAAUCCCGCAUCGGUGCUCUUGACUGAGUGUCGAGGCGGGCCGGCACGUUUACUUUGAACAAAUUAGAGUGCUCAAAGCAGGCUAAAACUUCGCCUGAAUACAAGUGCAUGGAAUAAUGGAAUAGGACCUCGGUUCUAUUUUGUUGGUUUUCGGAACCCCGAGGUAAUGAUUAAUAGGAACGGAUGGGGGCAUUCGUAUUGCGACGUUAGAGGUGAAAUUCUUGGAUCGUCGCAAGACGGACAGAAGCGAAAGCAUUUGCCAAAAACGUUUUCAUUGAUCAAGAACGAAAGUUAGAGGUUCGAAGGCGAUCAGAUACCGCCCUAGUUCUAACCAUAAACGAUGCCAGCUAGCGAUCCGCCGACGUUCCUCCGAUGACUCGGCGGGCAGCUUCCGGGAAACCAAAGCUUUCGGGUUCCGGGGGAAGUAUGGUUGCAAAGCUGAAACUUAAAGGAAUUGACGGAAGGGCACCACCAGGAGUGGAGCCUGCGGCUUAAUUUGACUCAACACGGGAAACCUCACCAGGCCCGGACACCGGAAGGAUUGACAGAUUGAGAGCUCUUUCUUGAUUCGGUGGGUGGUGGUGCAUGGCCGUUCUUAGUUGGUGGAGCGAUUUGUCUGGUUAAUUCCGAUAACGAACGAGACUCUGGCCUGCUAACUAGGCGCAUUUUCGGCAUCUCGAAGGCCCGCCGGCCGGUCGCUCGCGGCUCGGUCCGGCGCGGUUUUUACUGCCGGCGUACAGUUCAUUCUUCUUAGAGGGACAGGCGGCAUCUAGCCGCACGAGAUUGAGCAAUAACAGGUCUGUGAUGCCCUUAGAUGUUCUGGGCCGCACGCGCGCUACACUGAAGGAACCAGCGUGUCUUCCCUAUCCGAAUGGAUCGGGUAACCCGCUGAACCUCCUUCGUGCUAGGGAUCGGGGCUUGCAAUUGUUCCCCGUGAACGAGGAAUUCCCAGUAAGCGCGAGUCAUAAGCUCGCGUUGAUUACGUCCCUGCCCUUUGUACACACCGCCCGUCGCUACUACCGAUUGAAUGAUUUAGUGAGGUCUUCGGACCGGUACGCGGCGACGUUUCGACGCCGCCGAUGUCACUGGGAAGAUGACCGAACUUGAUCAUUUAGAGGAAGUAAAAGUCGUAACAAGGUUUCCGU